UACGUAGGGUGCAAGCGUUAAUCGGAAUUACUGGCGUAAAGCGUGCGCAGGCGGUUUUGUAAGUCUGUCGUGAAAUCCCCGGGCUCAACCUGGGAACUGCAUUUGUGACUGUAGAGCUGGAGUACGGCAGAGGGGGAUGGGAAUUCCGCGUGUAGCAGUGAAAUGCGUAGAUAUGCGGAGGAACACCGAUGGCGAAGGCAAUCCCCUGGGCCUGUACUGACGCUCAUGCACGAAAGCGUGGG
rnacentral:rRNA from 1 species